rnacentral:rRNA from 1 species
CCUGUGGCUCAACCACAGUUCGCUUUGGAAACUGAAGAACUAGAGUGCGGGAGAGGUAAGCGGAAUUCCAUAUGUAGCGGUGAAAUGCACAGAUAUAUGGAGGAACACCGGUGGCGAAGGCGGCUUACCAGCCCGAUACUGACGCUCAGUCACGAAAGCGUGGGGAGCAAAUAGGCUUAGAUACCCUAGUAGUCCACGCCGUAAACGUUGAGGACCUGAUGCCGGAGUAUUUCGGUGUCGUAGCUAACGCGUUAAGUCCUCCGCCUGGGUACUACGUUCGCAAGAAUAAAACUUAAAGGAAUUGACGGGGGCCCGCACAAGCAGUGGAGCAUGUGGUUUAAUUCGUCGCUACGCGAAAAACCUUACCAGGGUUUGACAUCCCGCUAAAAGUCUUGGAAACAAGAUUAUAGUUAUAGCGGUGAAAGGUGGUGCAUGGUUGUCGUCAGCUCGUGUCGUGAGAUGUUGGGUUAAGUCCCCUAACGAGCGCAACCCUUGUCUCUAUUUGCCAUCAUUAAGUUGGGAACUAUAGAGAGACUGCCGGUGCAAACCGGAGGAAGAUGGGGAUGACGUCAAAUCAUCAUGCCCCUUAUGCCCUGGGCCACACACGUGCUACAAUGGCCGGUACAGAGAGAAGCAAUCCCGUGAGGAG